rnacentral:tRNA from 1 species
GACAGCGUGUCCGAGUGGUUGAGGAAGUGGACUGGAAAUCCAUUAGGCUCAGCCUGCACAGGGUCGAAUCCUGCCGCUAUCG